AAUGAUACCCCCGGGAGAAAAGGGAGAAAUACCGGUAUUAAAUUCUGGAUGCAAUAAAAUGAAAGUCAGGUAUGCACCUUACAGCAGAAGUCUCUCCGAAAUGAGUACAGGAGUUAAUGGAACAUUCAAUUGAAUGGUUUGGACAAAGUA